rnacentral:tRNA from 1 species
UCCCUGAUAGCUUAGUUGGUAAAGAAUCUGCCUGCAGUGCAGGAGAUCUGGGUUCGAUUCCUGGGUUGGGAA